rfam:Candidatus Neoehrlichia lotoris str. RAC413 nlRAC413.contig.0_1, whole genome shotgun sequence.
AAUGGGUAACAUAAGCAAAAAACUUGUGAAGUCGGUCAGGUUAGAAAUAAAGCAGCCGUAGCAAUGUCUUUUUGGGUUAUGUUAUCCUUUGUG